CCUACGGGUGGCAGCAGUGAGGAAUAUUGGUCAAUGGGCGUAAGCCUGAACCAGCCAAGUCGCGUGAGGGAUGAAGGUUCUAUGGAUCGUAAACCUCUUUUAUAAGGGAAUAAAGUGCGGGACGUGUCCAGUUUUUUAUGUACCUUAUGAAUAAGGAUCGGCUAACUCCGUGCCAGCAGCCGCGGUAAUACGGAAGAUCCGAGCGUUAUCCGGAUUUCUUGGGUUUAAAGGGUGCGUAGGCGGCCUUUUAAGUCAGCGGUGAAAGUCUGUGGCUCAACCAUGGAAUUGCCGUGGAAACUGGGAGGAUUGAGUAUGUUUGAGGCAGGCGGAAUGCGUGGUGUAGCGGUGAAAUGCUUAGAUAUCACGCAGAACCCCGAUUGCGAAGGCAGCCUGCCAAGCCAUGACUGACGCUGAUGCACGAAAGCGUGGGGAUCAAACAGGAUUAGAUACCCCAGUAGUC
rnacentral:rRNA from 1 species